GGUAUUUUGACCGUGCAAAGGUAGCAUAAUCAUUAGUUUUUUAAUUGAAAGCUGGAAUGAAAGGUUGGAUGAGAAAUAAGCUGUCUCUAUUUAAUUUUAUUAGAAUUUUAUUUUUAAGUAAAAAAGCUUAAAUUUAAAUAGAAGACGAGAAGACCCUAUAGAGUUUUAUUUACUUUUUAAAUAAGAUUAAUAGUAUUAAUUAUUUUUAUUUAUAUAGUAAAUUUAGUUGGGGUGAUUGAAAAAUUUAAUAAACUUUUUUUAUAUAUGUACAUUGAUAUAUGAUUAAUUGAUCCUUAAUUUAAGAUUAAAAGAUAAAAUUACCUUAGGGAUAACAGCGUAAUUUUUUUUGAGAGUUCUAAUCGAAAGAAAAGAUUGCGACCUCGAUGUUGGAUUAAAAUAAAAUUUUGGUGUAGAAGCUAAAA
rnacentral:rRNA from 1 species